rnacentral:rRNA from 1 species
GACGAACGCUGGCGGCGUGCUUAACACAUGCAAGUCGAACGGUGAAGCGCCUUCCUUUUUGGUGGGUGUGGAUGAGUGGCGAACGGGUGAGUAACACGUGAGUAACCUGCCCCCUUCUUCUGGAUAACCGCAUGAAAGUGUGGCUAAUACGGGAUAUUCUGGUUCUGUCGCAUGAUGGGUCUGGGAAAGAUAUUGUUUCGGUGGGGGAUGGGCUCGCGGCCUAUCAGCUUGUUGGUGGGGUGAUGGCCUACCAAGGCGGUGACGGGUAGCCGGCCUGAGAGGGUGGACGGUCACACUGGGACUGAGACACGGCCCAGACUGCGACGGGAGGCAGCAGUGGGGAAUAUUGCACAAUGGGCGCAAGCCUGAUGCAGCGACGCCGCGUGAGGGAUGGAGGCCUUCGGGUUGUGAACCUCUUUCGCCAGUGAAGCAGGCCUGCCUGGUUUGUGGGUGGGUUGACGGUAGCUGGAUAAGAAGCGCCGGCUAACUACGUG